GACAAUCUCCAAGCGCCCGGCGGUAACAACAUAUUACCUUUCAGUAAUUAGUUUGCGACCUUGUUUUACCAUCUCUUGCUUUUCUCAUGCGCAUUAAAUAGUCAUAAAAAAAGCGCAUUUCUUAGCAUUUGUUUUUCUAACAACCUUUUAAAUACUCAGUCUUUUAUCAGUUUUUUUCUUUCAGAACUAUUUCUUCAUUCGUGUCUAUAUGACCAUGGAAUAGCAGUUGUGUCUAUAUGAACAUGGAAUAGUGGUAAUUCAGUCUUUUCUGACAUCUUCAAGCUUUCAGUUUACAAAACAGAAUGCUUUUUCAUUUCCUAUAUUUUUAUUUACGAAAGGGAUUUCGAUGAAAGGACCUUAUGAUUAACAUUUUUAAUAACAAUCAAUUUGUCUCGAAGCGUUAAAAGAGUUAAGUUUGCCUUUUCUAUUAAGUGGAUAUCAUUAGAAUAAACAUUUUUUCGCCGCUUAUCCUAUAUCUAGGCUAGCUUAUCUUCGGUCAGCACACUGUCCCUGGACUGUUCUAGAACAACUACGAGGCAAGCGUUCUACUGUGAAGAGGCGAAGAAUCGUACAAACAAACGAUGAAGUCGUACAUCGCCGUUCUUCUGAUUUUGGGCCUCGUCAUUUGCGCACACGGCAGCAACCUCAGAAAGCGCCUGCGCUUACAAAGAGAAGCCGCUGUUCAGGGGGGAAAGGCUCAUCUCCAGGAACACGAGGAAGAUCCGUGUUUCUACAACACUUACAAUAACAUGUGCAUGGACGAGGCUGGCGAGGGUAAAAACGCGGGGAGACCUAGGCAAGCAUGACGGACAAACAGUCUUCAAUAUACCUAAGCACAAGUAGUCUUGGAUAAGGUUGUCGAAGCUCCAAAGCUUAUAAACAAUAUUGUAGAUGUUUUUCAAUAGUUGUAUGUAAUAGUUGUUGGAUAAAUGAAAUCUGAUCGACAUUAAAGUAUAAAUAAGUGA